UCAUGGGAUACACACCAUUGUUCUUCUCACUUGUUUUUCUUCUUAUUCUUCCUCUUCACUUACAAUCUCCCAGUUCAUGUCGGAAUAAUCAGGCAACUAAAGGAAUGUUGCCCUAUGAGGAAGGUACUUCAAUUCUCAUUUCAUACAUAGGUGUGAAAUAGAAUUAUUGUUCUUAUAAUUGUUAACAAGACAUUUGGGAACUACAUUUUAGUUCCAAGUGUUGUGUUUUCAUCAAAUUUAAGAAAUUACGAGUUAUUUCGUUAAGAAGCUGUAUUACUACAGUUAGUUAAUAAACUAACUAUGGGAUUUAUAGUUCUAGCCUUAAGAUUGAGUGGUUAAUGCAUCUCUAAUGAUUUAUCAACUAGGAAUCAAUACAGAUAAAUCGCUAUCCUACCACCAUUCUAGGCAUGAAGAUAAAGUUUGGUGGAAACUUGAUUGAGAUAUAGAGAUCUUUAGACUUAACCCCCCCCCCCCCCCUCCUAUAUGUCCAAGUUUGGACUUUGUCUCUCUCCGUCUCUUUCUGUCAAAUUUAAGAGAGUUUGGGGACGAGAAGAAGAGGAGAGAAAGAAAAAACCAAAGUGGAUGGACGGACAUGAUUUUUAAACCCACCCGACGUACAAUAGACCUCCUAAAGUAUGUCGACUAUAGGUUGGUGAUGAACCUAGGUAACUAACUAACUAUGUUAUAGUAUAGACUAUGGAAGACAAAAAGAAUUCAGGAAGGUCCAAACAUGUUAUUGUUUACUAACCUUAUUUAGUGUUAUCGGAUUAAUUAAUAGUAAUACACAACAGUUUUUGCGUUUAGUUCGAGAACAACAAAUAACAUUCAAAGAUUUGUUUAGAGAGAAUAAACACAAGGUAGUGUUAAUUUUCACUAAUUUAUUUACUUGAAUCGCAGGUUAUGUUUCUUGUCUUCUCUCUCGAUAGAUCAUUACCUUUUGUCCAUUGCUUUCACUGUCCAACAACCAUGGAAAUUGCCCUAUCCCAUAAACUCAUGGUACAAAUGUAUUAUGAACGUACUGAUUUUGAAGUAAUGACACAUUAGAAAAGAAUUAUUGGGUUAUUUCUCUUAAAUUAAUUCAGGUGUCAUAUCUUUUAGCCGUUCUGUUCUAAUUUCAGAUAUGCUUAAUUUUGCAGUGCAUGCUCUUAAUUCUAUCAUUUCAAGCAUGGGAAUGAGGCAGGAUCAAACUUUUUCUAACGAUUCAUGUACCAAACUUGGUCCAUUUGGUCCAGAUGGCGG
rnacentral:lncRNA from 1 species